ensembl:lncRNA
CUGCUGGGGCUGUAAUAAUCCCUGAAUAAGCCUCCCGCUGUAAACAGGAGAGUUCCAGCAGCUCCAUCCCAGUCUUUGUUCAGGACAGUAUGUCACAGGGCUUCCAGCAGCUUGGGCUUUGUUGUUUCACUCUGCAUUAAAGUUUACCGUAACAGUUGAAUGAAAGGAUCUAAAAGCAUGUCAGACAAGCUCCACAGGUCUGUUUUUCUGCUUUCCUGGUGUUUCACCCGUUAAUCCUCACCCCGACCAGGUGAGGUCGAUGUCUGCCCUCCCUGAGCCUGGUUCUGCUGGAGGGUAAAGGGUUUGUUCCAGCACACGGUUUCCCUAUGUGACCUACAAACGCGUGAACAGCGCGACCCAGCUGUCGCUCUGAUGAUCAGGAAAUACCCUCACCCCUUCCCCGACGGUGACAUCAAGUAUCUGUGACUAGAAGCUGAAUGCAAGAAUGUGCAUCAGAGCAGAUUGCCAUCACUGGAUCUGUGUGUGUUUCUGUCCGAGUGCCGUUUUUGCAGAGUCUUUGCUGAAACUGAGAGAGAGACCUGUGUUGAGAUUGUUUUUUUUUUCCGUAGAAUUAAGUACAUAAGGUGACUGCAUUGAAGUGACGUGACUGCAUUGAAGGAAACAAGGCACGAUUAAAAAGAUAUAUAAAAAACAACACCAUGAGCCGUGGGAGAGCGUGAACAUCUCCCUCCAGGUUUUCCCUCCAGAGUUUGUGGAGAAAGAAUUAAAACGACAAAAACAGCACAAUCGAGGAGCAACAUUUCGUCUCUCAGUCGUUUACACCCGAGCCGCUUCGUCUCAUACAAAAAAGAUCGAUUCCCUCAAGUGAUUCAGAGCAAAAAAACAUCACAAUACACAGAAACGACACAACCAGCUACUAUGACAGAGUUUGCAUUAUUUUUUGCCGAGGGAAAUUCAUUGCUUUCGAACCGUUCAACUCUUCUCAUCGGCCGUCGUUUAAAAGGGGUUUAAUCCAUUUGAAAUCAACCAAAUCUGAG